UGUCUUAAGAUUCAGAAACUUUCCAAGAC
rnacentral:piRNA from 1 species